GAGAGAAGCCCGUCGCAGCAAAAACUGCUAAUUUUUGCCCCCUCAGUUAAACUCUGGGGUUCACUCA
rnacentral:tRNA from 1 species